CAGCCUUUGCGAAAGUCGCGGUCAAACCGUUGCACGUCGUAACAACGAAGAGUGUGUAAAGCGGCGUGACAUUAAAUAUUCUUGAUCCCAGUCGGUUUUGGGCCUUAAAAACCCUCGUUGCAUUUUGGUGACCAUGGCGUCAGAAGAUGUGGCACAGCUGGCUGACUCCCUAGCCAAAACGCAGGUCAGAGAGGGAGAGCUGAGCUACAAAGGCCGAGGGCUGAAGUUUGACAAUGCAAAGUCUGUGGAGGGCCUGGUGCGUGAGGUGGAGGAGUUUCAGGGGUUGCGGGCCUUGAGGCUGGAGGGGAACACGUUUGGAGUGGAAGCAGCCCAGGCGAUCGCUAAAACUCUGGAGAAAAAAGGGGAGUUUGAGUGCUGCUACUGGAGCGACAUGUUCACGGGGCGGCUGCGAUCAGAAAUCCCCCCAGCCUUGACCUCCCUAGGAGGAGCCUUGAUGACAGCGGGUGCUCGCUUGAAGGUGCUGGACCUCAGUGACAACGCCUUUGGUCCUGAUGGAGUGAAAGGAAUAGAUACGCUGCUCAGGAGCACCGUCUGUCACACCUUGCAGGAGCUGCAUCUCAACAACUGUGGCAUGGGCAUUGGCGGAGGGAAGAUCCUAGCUGCAGCCCUAAUGGAGUGUCACAAACAGUCCAGCGCGGUGGGCUCCCCGCUCUCACUGAAGAUUUUCAUCGCUGGAAGGAACCGGCUCGAGAACGAUGGGGCUACUGCUCUCGCUCAAGCUUUUCAAAUGAUGGGAAGCCUGGAGGAGGUGCACAUGCCCCAGAACGGCAUCAACCACCCUGGGGUGACGGCGCUCGCCAGAGCCAUGCAGUCCAAUCAGAAGCUGCGCGUCCUCAACCUUAACGACAACACCUUCACUAAGAAAGGGGCCAUCGCCAUGGCACAGACUUUGAAGGGACUCCACAGUGUCCAAGUGAUCAAUUUCGGUGACUGCUUGGUGCGUUCUGAGGGUGCGGCCGCCAUUGCUGACGCGCUGAUGACGGGCCUGCCCAUCCUUAAGGAGCUCAACCUAUCCUUCGGUGAGAUCAAAGAAGAGGCUGCACUAAUGGUGGCUAAGGCUGUGAGGAAUAAAGCCCUUCUGGAGAAGCUGGACCUCAACGGCAACUAUCUGGGGGUGGAUGGCUGUAAAAUACUGAAGCAGAUCAUGGAUGACAUGAAGAUUGGGAACCUGCUGGGUUCGCUCAGUGAUGAUGAAGGAGAGCUGGAAGAUGAGGAGGAGGAUGACGAAGAGGAGGAGGAAGAUGAGGAUGAAGAAGGUAAGGAUGGUGAAGAUGAAGAAGAGGAGGAGGAGGAAGAGGAGGAGGAAGAUGAGGAUGAAGAAGACAAUAGAGUGAAAGCUGACCAGGAUGUGGAUGCUGUGGUGACCCCAGCCAAGCCCCAGAACACUGUUUCCACCCCGGUGUCGUCCUCUCGGCCCCCCGACGUCACUUCUUUCCUCAGCUUCCCCUCCCCCGACAAGCUGCUGAAACUGGGGGCCAAACGAGCACUGCUCAUCGAACAGCAGGUAGAUGUGCUGGAUGCGGGGAGGACGGUGGAGGCCUUCCUGAAAGUCUCCUCCGUGUACAAAGACGAGCAUGAGGUCAAGAAGGCUGUGCUGGACACUGUUGAUGCCGUGCUGAGGAAGGCCUUCUCACCCCCCAUCAUCCACAGUUACAGCUUCAUCUCAGCUCUCCUGGUCAUGUUAGGCCUGAUCAAGAGUGAGGAGAAGAUAAAGCCGGUGAAGGUGGUACCCGGUCAUCUGCUGGCCCUGGAUCACGCUGUGCAGCAGGACUAUUUCCCCCGGGAGCAUGUGGCCGUGCUGCAUGCUUUCAUGUCCCGCCGCUGCAAGUCUCUGGAGUCCUGCAGCAGCGCCAGAAACUCCCUCAUCUCCACGCUGGAGCAACUGAGGUCCAAAUGUUGACCAUUAUGUCUCCGGCUCUGUCUAGAAGGCGUGUCUCGACAGACUGCAUCACCCUGUGCACCCUUUACUGUGUUGGCUUUUCCCAGUAUCCUGCCCACUGGAUAGUUACACUGACGUAAAGGACGAUGAUGCUCCACAGACAAACUCAUUGUGUGGCAUUAAGACACACACACACAGAGACUGACGCACCCAUGACCAAUCCGGCUUCACUCUCUGAUCUACGGCAGCCCGCUGAGGACAAAAAGAACUGGAAAUAUUUCUAUAAACUUGAUAGGACUGUUUUAUGCAACAGGUCAACAAUAAAAAUUCCCCCUUUUUGAUACAUGUAAAUAACUUGGAAAAAAGAGAUAAAGAUUUAUAAAUUGGUGAUGAAUAAAGGCAUGGUGUCCUGCUACUUAUGCCUUUGAAGUAACAGUAUGCAUUCCAAGGCAUUAAUUAAAAAAAAUGUAUAUCUCCAAACAAGGGAGAAAAGUUGAAUGUUAAUGAGCACAUUGGAUCUUUUUUUAAAUAGUUGUUAAAGCUUUAUCAAUGAAGCAGGAUGUAAAACACACAAUCAGGACUUCUAAUUGUCAAGUCGUCCCAUUUUGUGCCCCUUUUCCUUGUGCCUACGACCGAUUGUUAAGCUGAUUUGUGGGGUGGGGGGACAGUCACGAUGUAUUUGUUAGGUAGACUAACGGACACGGCCUCGUCGCGGGGUGUUUUGCAGAUCUGCUUUAACAGCAUCGGAAUAAAACCAUGACGCGGGUGCACCAGAGGUGAAAACCGAAGGCACCCCCUCAGUCUCUGCCGCCGGGACCGAGUAAUCCCUCUGCAAGUGAGACACGUUCGUGGAUAAGACACCGGAUGCCCUUCACCGUGCAAUUUUUAUUGUUCUAGCUUUUUCAAUAUAUAUUUUUUCUGAAGGACUUUUUUUUUUUAAUCACUGAGUGGGAUACGUGGCUUCUGCUGGAGGUAGUAUCGACUGGCCGCUAUGAAUGUACCCAGUGUAAUAUCUGGUAUCCUGUUGGGGAAGAGCGUUAUUUAUUGCAGAGCUGCUCAAGCUGCUCCACUGGAAAGCUAUUCAUUCAAACUGUUUUCAUUGAAAACGACUAUAUGCUUAUUUGAUCAAAAGCUGGAUAGUACUUAUACUUUAGUCUUGCCGUUAAAUAUAUUGCAGGUGGAAUCAGACGUAUUUUUAUUAUUUCGGCUAACAGAAGCGAAGUAUGGUCAUUUCAUAAGAAUUUGUCAGGGCGCAUUAGGGCAGGUACUCCAGCUAUACGUCAAGUUUCGGCUCAUUUGAGCUUUAACCCGAGAGUAAUCGGGAAUAUAUAGUAUAAUAAAUAAAUUAGUCGCUUUCUUUUUUCGUGUAAACCACACAAAAUGUUAUUGUGAAAUGAUUUGUUUGUGUAUGUGUGUAAGACUUAAGGGAGAAAUAAAAUUACAGUUACCUAUAUACUACUAAAAAGUUAAAUUCACGUAAUGCAAAUCGGUGAAUUAUUUUAGGCUACGGUAAAUAUCGGUAUCAAUUUCACGCGUAUACAAUGGUCAAUAAAAAUAAACUGUACUACU